rnacentral:misc_RNA from 1 species
AGGAACGGCUCGUGGUGGCCGGGGAAGAUAAUGGGCCCCGAAGAGCUGGCAGAGUGUAAUCUCUCUUCUCCCCGAACAGGGACUCCGGUCAAGCUCCUUGGAAGAGAAGACGCUAGUGUGGACUGGUACAAUUUAGAAAAAUCUAAGCGUGUGAAGGCAUUUCGAUGUGGUGAGUUUGAUGAUUGCAUUGAAAGGGCUGAAUCAGCCCAGGGCAUGCCAAUAAAAAAAAGAGAAAAAUAUGCACGUCGAGAAGAUGCAAUUCUGCACUUGAGCUUGAAAAACAGCUGUUGAAAAAACAAGUAAAAUCAAGUGCAACUGCUGAUCACCAAAGAAGUAAAUUAUCUGGGC